rnacentral:lncRNA from 1 species
AUGAGCAGCUCAGCAGUGAAAAUAUUGAGAGGAGAUCAACCCACCUGUGCUGACGGCUGUCUUUCUUGCUUCCUGCUUUGGAACAAUACAGAUCUGACACCCAGGAGCACAGUCCUAACCUAUCUGGCACACAGAUGUGUCCUGAAGCCUCUUUGCCCUGUAGUAACCAGCUGAGCUGUCGAACAUUGAAAGAGAACUAAGAAGAUCUUUUUAUUCGCUAUCAGGCCCUCUUGAGAAGCAUAUUUUGUUACUAAAUAAAAAGGAAGAGACGAACAUUGAGGUUACAUCUCCUGUUUGGAAAGUUCAGGGGAAAGUUGAGUUGACCUAAUCUCUAUCAGCUGCUUUUAGUCAUUAAUUCACUCAACCAGUAACUAUUGGAUACUCAAUGUGUACUAGGCAUUGUUCUGGACACUGGAGAUAAAACAGGACAAAGAUUGUUCUCAUGGAAUCUGUAAUCUGGUGGAAAAAAAGACAGAAAGAAUUCCACAGUGACUGGGCCUUCUGAUGGCAACGGGAUGCCCUGAGGGGGAUGUUGGGGUCUGUGUCCCUGGUAAACUGCAUUUAUUAUUCACUCACAGACGUGUAUAUGUGUGUGUGUGUGUGCACAUGCGUGCAUGCGUGUGUUUUUAGCUGAUUACUAAAACACUAACUUCUACCUAACAAAGUAUUUUUGAUGUCUUGAAAGUGAUUGUCAUAGCCCUGGAGAUCUAUUUGUGUCCUGUUUUCUCAAGUUUGUGUUCUUUGUGUUAGCAAAGAAUAUCCCACCUCACUGCAAGUAUAACAGAAUAAGCUAUUAUCUGUGAUGUUCCAGCCCUGAUGUACCCAGAAGCAAACUUUCAUUUUACCCAAUGUCAGUUUGUUAUCUGAGGACUGGGGUUAUUUUGCUCAAUAUACUGUAGCUAACUUUCAAUAUGUCUUCUUAGGUUUCAAAGCAAAUUUUACUAAAGGUUAGCAAGUUUGGAUGAGACCCAGACUUGGAUAAUAUUGCAAUGCCUGGGAAGCCAUGAGAAUGACUUUCACAUUUCCGUAAAGGAGGGUGAGUUUUAACCUUAACCUCACUCUGCCCCUCAUAUAAAGCAUGUGGUAAAUCAAGCAGAGCAUGUUAGGUGUUGUGUUUCAGUAAUGGAAUGAUAUAUCAAGCCAACAUUUGUUUUUAACCCUGGGUAAAGUGUAUUAAAUCACUAAAAACAAGUGUUCUGCCAUGUGCUUCCUAUA